rnacentral:rRNA from 1 species
GACAGAGGCCCCAAGCGUUAGGCGGAAUCACUGGGCUUAAAGCGUGUGUAGGCGGAUCGUUAAGUGUCUUGUGAAAUCCCACGGCUCACCCGUGGAACUGCUGGGCAUACUGGCGAUCUUGGGCCAACUAGGGGCAGCCGGAACAAGCGGUGGAGCGGUGAAAUGCGUAGAUAUCGCUUGGAACGCCGAAGGUGAAAACAGGCUGCUGGGGUUGCACCGACGCUGAGACACGAAAGCGAGGGGAGCAAACGGG